GAUGUGCAAUAAACGGAUGAGAUGUUCAUCUGGUCUGGAGGGGUCCAGGUUUCGUGAAAAUAUUUCUUACCACCUGCAGCCCCGCCUCCGUGUCAAUGUUAGUGUACAGACUUUCCACAUCUAUAGUAAAAAGGACUCGCUCCCACAAUCGGACACAAUUGGCCGUCCAGUCGAGACCUGAAAAGGGACCGUCCAUGCCUCCGGUUCUUUAUGGAUUUUUGGCAGAGGAGCCCCACCUCCCUACCCUACCCCCUCCUUUCAUUAAGCCCCAAGGGUGCAAUUGUUUGUAGCUUCAUUAUCCACACUCUUUCCCUCAUCCUCCUCUCCACAUUGGACCACCCGGGAUUACUUUCCAAGACCGACACCUUUAAACCAGAGACCAGACGAAUUUGAAAAUGACUGUCCGAUACGAUGGGGCGCCCUGGCGGGACCUCUCGAGGGACCGUCCAUGUCUCCAGAUCUUUGUGGAUCUUGGAGUUCCCUAAUGGCUACUCUCUGUACAGUAGAGAGAUUAUCUGUACGGGCUAUGGAACAGACCACCCCGGAUUGGUGUCCAGGCCCGACACCCUCAAGUCUGAAACUGGAUGAACUUGGAAAUGGUAAGUCAACUCUGUUUGUAAAUGGAAUUUGCGAAUUAUUAUAACAUCUAUUGUAAAGAUGUUGUUUUAAUCGCACCAGUAUUGUAUGCUGUGUCUCCCCUAUAUAAAGUUUACCACAGGUGCUGCAGGCAAUUACAUAGACCACAUUCCUGUCUGUUAUCAAUACCUUUUUCCACACCGGUGCCUCCUCCCCAUUUGUUCACCAAAAAAGACCUGAAUUGAAAAAACCUGCGGAGUUGUACCUGUGAGUCUUCCAUCUUCGCUGGUAACCCUGAGCGUACUAAAAGAUCCUUCAGAUUUUUAUUCCAUCUAUAGGCUGCAAUUAUCCUGUGUGUCCGGAGCGAUGGUAAAUGACUCUGCACAUUGGCGAAGUUGUUCCUAAUUUUCCCAAUCAAUGCUUUAUUGGACUCCGAGAAGGUAGUAAUAAAAGGAAUGAUGUUUGUAUCCUCUUUACACAGUCCAAGUGCUCGGCCUGAUACAGCUUCAGCUUUAGCACACCUUAGCAGCCUCUUAG